rnacentral:rRNA from 1 species
CCUACGGGAGGCAGCAGUAGGGAAUCUUUCACAAUGGGCGAAAGCCUGAUGGAGCAACGCCGCGUGCAGGAUGAAGGCCUUCGGGUUGUAAACUGCUUUUAUAAGCGAGAAAUAUGAUGGUAACUUAUGAAUAAGGAUCGGCUAACUACGUGCCAGCAGCCGCGGUCAUACGUAGGAUCCGAGCAUUAUCCGGGGUGACUGGGUGGAAAGAGUGGCGUAGGUGGCAUAAUAAGUAGCUAGUGAAAUCUGGUGGGUCAACCAUUCAGACUAUUAGCUAAACUGUUAAGCUCGAGAGCGUUAGGGGUAAGUGGAAUUUCUAGUGUAGUAGUGAAAUGCGUAGAUAUUAGGAGGAACACCAAUAGCGUAGGCAGGUUACUGGGACGGUUCUGACACUGAGGCACGAAAGCGUAGGGAGCAAACGGGAUUAGAUACCCCGGUAGUC